rnacentral:tRNA from 1 species
CAAGGAAUAGUUUAAUGUUAGAAUCUUAGCUUUGGGAGCUAAGGGUAGAAGUUAGAAUCUUCUUUCCUUGA